UACGUAGGGGGCUAGCGUUAUCCGGAAUUACUGGGCGUAAAGGGUGCGUAGGUGGUUUCUUAAGUCAGAGGUGAAAGGCUACGGCUCAACCGUAGUAAGCCUUUGAAACUGGGGAACUCGAGUGCAGGAGAGGAGAGUGGAAUUCCUAGUGUAGCGGUGAAAUGCGUAGAUAUUAGGAGGAACACCAGUUGCGAAGGCGGCUCUCUGGACUGUAACUAACACUGAGGCACGAAAGCGUGGGGAGCAAACAGG
rnacentral:rRNA from 1 species